rnacentral:rRNA from 1 species
UACGGGGGAGCAAGCGUUGUUCGGAUUUACUGGGCGUAAAGGGCGCGUAGGCGGUCAGCACAAGUCAGUUGUGAAAUCUCCGGGCUUAACUCGGAAAGGUCAACUGAUACUGUGCGACUAGAGUGCAGAAGGGGCAACUGGAAUUCGUCGGUGUAGCGGUGAAAUGCGUAGAUAUCGAGAGGAACACCUGCGGCGAAGGCGGGUUGCUGGGCUGACACUGACGCUGAUGCGCGAAAGCCAGGGGAGCGAACAGG